rnacentral:rRNA from 1 species
CACAAGCGGUGGAGCAUGUGGUUAAUUCGACGCAACGCGAAGAACCUUACCAGGGCUUGACAUCCCCUGACCGCGUAUGAAAGUACGUUUUCACCCUCGGGUGACGGGGAGACAGGUGGUGCAUGGUUGUCGUCAGCUCGUGUCGUGAGAUGUUGGGUUAAGUCCCGCAACGAGCGCAACCCCUACGUUUAGUUGCUAACGCGUGAAGGCGAGCACUCUAGACGAACUGCCGUUGACAAGACGGAGGAAGGUGGGAUGACGUCAAAUCAUCAUGCCCCUUAUGUUCUGGGCUACACACGUGCUACAAUGGCCGGUACAGACGGACGCAAAGCCGCGAGGUGGAGCAAAUCCUAAAAAGCCGGUCUCAGUUCGGAUUGCAGGCUGCAAUUCGCCUGCAUGAAGUCGGAAUCGCUAGUAAUCGCAGGUCAGCAUACUGCGGUGAAUACGUUCCCGGGCCUU